rnacentral:rRNA from 1 species
UACGGAGGAUCCGAGCGUUAUCCGGAUUUAUUGGGUUUAAAGGGAGCGUAGGUGGAUUGUUAAGUCAGUUGUGAAAGUUUGCGGCUCAACCGUAAAAUUGCAGUUGAAACUGGCAGUCUUGAGUACAGUAGAGGUGGGCGGAAUUCGUGGUGUAGCGGUGAAAUGCUUAGAUAUCACGCAGAACUCCGAUUGCGAAGGCAGCGUACCGGCAUCCAACUGACGCUGAGGCACGAAAGCGUGGGGAUCAAACAGG